UUUUUAUCGCGUGUCUUUGCAAUUGAAGUCAUUCCAAUUGAUUAUUAAUACAAUUCAAAAUAAAAUUCCUUAAAAAGUGUGUUGUCUUCAAUACUUUCUUAGAUAUUUUAUAUUCUCCACUUCUCGAAUGUAUUGAGCGUUACUUUUGCUGUUAUGAACAACGGUAGAACAAAAGCAUGUGUAUAAAGAUUUUUGCUGAAUGUUCAACAAUUUCAAGACCUUCGGGAUGUGCUGCACUGCGACCGCAUUUAGCGCCACGAUUCGAAGAAGCCUUUCAGAUGCGGUUUCGGAGUCUUUUAAAACAUUUUCCUACCCUCAUUAAAGCAAUUAGUUUAAAAUAGGAAUCAUUGGGCUGCCAAUUAUUUUUUCAGCGACUCGUCACGUGUUAAAAGUGGAAACAAAGUUUGAUGAAUCGGAAGAGUUAUAGAAAAGUCAGCUCUUUUUAUUCUGAAAUCGUACCUCCUUUAUAGGUAUAUCCCAAUAUGCUUCUAUUAUGUGGUGAUUCAAUAUUAAAGACGUUCCGCAGGAGCGUAAGCUAUUUGCUACGUGAAUGUGUAUAAUUUUGUAACGAAAUGAACGACAUUACCGAUUAUGCUGGCACAUAUGUAUUUAUAGCACGGACGUACAAAUAUUGGCUUAGGAUUUGAGUAGACGACGUUGAGCGAUCAACAUUCAAUAUAUAAAAGGUUCAAGUGAUUUUUAAUUAAACUCAACAACUAUGUUAUUUAGUUCUCAGAGAUUUCGCCUUCCGUGUUUCCAUGUAAAACAGUUUGGUCACCGCAAAAUUUUGAGAAAAGUUGCAAAAAAUUAAACAAGUUUCCGAAACCAAUUGAAACUUAGAUUUUUAAGACGAACCCUAAUAUACACAUGUACACACUUGCUCUUAGGGUGUGCAUAUGUAUGCCAUACUCUUAGGAAAAUUCCUAAUUGCGCUCGCUUCUUUUUAAGUGCGCAGAAAAGCUCUAAAGUUAAUGAAUAGCAAAAUUAUGUUGAUGACUGCCGACAGCUCAUUUCUUAUGGGGCGCACUGCCAAAAACCAUAGCGGAUUGAAAGGUAAUUUUUGGAAAAUGCCUGCCACUUCUGCACAACCAACGAUAUUAAUUGCAUUCGAAAACUCCACUUAUAAAUCAAUUACGAAGUUGAAGUGCAGAAAGAUGAGCUGGAGGCGGCGGCGCACGCUGCGUCGUGCACCUGCUGGGCUGGCGGCGAAUUAAUGAGGCGAACUCCUGUGCUACUGAGCCACCGAGCUACUAAGCUGCCGAGCUGUGUUAAGCAUUACCUAGGAAUGCGGAUCGAAAGCGAUGGAAGACGCACAAGUAUAUAGCCUCUUACCUGGUAGGGUUACUUUUUUCGUCCUGUCACCGCUCCAGUCGGAAACUAAGAAGCCAGCCGAAAGUAAAAACAAGUAAACAACGGUGCGUGGCAGCUUGAGUGCACAUGAACGGAAUGCGGGUCGACGUGGUAGGCCACUCUUCGCUGCACUUUCCACCGCAGUCCAUCUACAAGGACAUUGGAACAUCUGUAGUUUUUUUAUAACACAUCUCACCCGCACCAACCAACAAGCAAGACUUGUAAUUGCGAAGUCUUUAAGCACGAAAUGCCAUAUAACACUCAAACAGUAUGAUGAAACAGGAAAGAAGAACAACACAAAAAGCAACAACGUCAAUAUCUAUGAGCCAGAAAUAAAACCGAAUAAAAUACGAGGCGAAGCGCAGCGUGUCGAAUGAGAUUGCAAGUAGCGAUCCUCUUAAAAAUCGAUUAACCCAUUUCCGAUAGCCACUGCAAUGCGGCGCGCAUCCUUCCAACCAAUGACAGGCAACUGCAGCAACAGCAACAGCAGCGGAAACAAUAGCAAAAUCUGUUUGCAAAGUUUCUACCGAAGUGCGAAUGUGCGAGGUGGGGGAAGUUGUUCAGGACUUUAUUGACAUGCUUCCCGAAUGCGGAUGCAAAUGGCUGAUUAUGUGCGGCCCAACUGCUCUUUGUCUAUAAAGAGCACCCUCCGUCGCGUCGCUUACAGCUGCCGACAUCAUAGCUGCUGUCGUUGUUGCUGUCAGUACAGCACAUUUGCAUGCGGACUUUUCCAACAACACUUAAAGCCGCUGACUAUUUGUUGCUGCCACAUCGUGUAACGGCCCGAUAUGUUAUUAUAGCGCUGCUUUCUAGUUAAGCUUGCUGUUUCGACUGCAGCUCUUUAAAGCAAUGGGAAAUUGCAAAGGACACCAGCAUUCCGUGCUGCUUGGCCGGCAACACUUCACGCUCGGUUUCAUAACUCCGAACGCGCGACGUACUCAUCCAGCUGGUGCAGAUCGGUGUGUGGGUCGGAUGAUUGGCAAUAUGGCGGCGGACGGCGUCCAAUAAGCUAUUGGAUGCAAUGCGGCUGAAAGUGACCCGAAUUCGCAGUCAAUUACAGGAAUUGAUGGUCGACACCAGGCAAACAGAUAAGAGGGGUGUGAGAUGAAAUGGUUACUUCGAAUAUGCAAUUCGCUUACGUCAAAUGUAUUGAUUUUGCGGUGCCAGUAUGGCGAACAAGCGAAUCUGCAUAAUUAGGCGAAUUAGUAAAAACGUGGUAAGGAUACCAUAAUGUAACAAGUGGAGUGCGGUUACAAGGCUGACGGAUUUGUGGUUAAUUAUGUGUCGAAGCUAAAUUCGCUUAAUUAGCUUAUAUCAGAACACAUAUUCGAAUUUAUAGUAGAAUUUAAAUAUCAUCCUCUUUAUCUCCUUGCAAAAUAUCCUUACGCCAUCUUCUAAACUGUGACUGGAGGAUUUUUGCAUAACCUUCACUCAUAUGGGAAUUAAGUUCCUUUCUAACGAAAGCUCUACUAAUGCAACUUCGUCUAGUGCACUUGUUCGUGAUGCAAUAAGUAAACCCGAAUUUGCUAAGGCUUCUGGUUUUGGACUUAAAGAAUCUUUCUGGAGAAGUCUUUUAGAACACCAUCAACUUGACUUCAGCAUUAGUGUGAAGUACAGAAAAGUAUGAAAUAUCUGGAGAAAUACAAAAGCCCGCUUUCACAUGGGACUUUUGCAACUGAGUAAAAUUUCCAUUCCAACCAAUUAAUUAAAGGAUAUUAACAGGGACGACACUAAAACUAGUAUGGAAAAAUCGCACAGCGUGAGUGCAGAGAAAGUAAAGCAUUGAAAAGGUGCAGGUUCGACAGCACACAUUUGAAUAAUUUCAACGGGGGAACUACCUCACGACGAGGAAAUUUGCCUCAUGAAAUAUUCACUUUAUUUCAAUUUUAGCAGAAAAGAAUCGGUAAAAGGGGAUUUUGGUGAGGGAACCAGAGAAUGAAUAACAUGCUACUUAUGUGAAUUUUUUAUUUUAAAUUAAUUUAUACUGACUUAUAAGUUAAAAAAUAUUUUGAAACAUUUAUUUAAAUAAUUUGUGUGUGUGUGUGUAUUUAUGUAUGUAUGUAUUAUAUAUAUAUAUGGCAUCAUUAAGGAGUAGAAAAGGAAUUGAUUUGCCGUCGGAAAUGUUACAUAUUUUUCGAUUAAAACUAUACUCGUAUAUUGGG